UACGGGGGGGGCAAGCGUUGUUCGGAAUUACUGGGCGUAAAGGGCUCGUAGGCGGCCAACUAAGUCGGAUGUGAAAUCCCCAGGCUUAACCUGGGAACUGCAUCCGAUACUGGAUGGCUUGAAUCCGGGAGAGGGAUGCAGAAUUCCAGGUGUAGCGGUGAAAUGCGUAGAUAUCUGGAGGAACACCGGUGGCGAAGGCGGCAUUCUGGACCGACAUUGACGCUGAGGAGCGAAAGCCAGGGGAGCAAACGGG
rnacentral:rRNA from 1 species